rnacentral:rRNA from 1 species
CCCUUAGAUGUUCUGGGCCGCACGCGCGCUACACUGAUGCAUUCAACGAGUUUCUUCCUGGUCCGAGAGGAAUGGGUAGCCUUUUGAAAGUGCAUCGUGAUAGGGAUAGACUAUUGCAAUUAUUGGUCUUCAACGAGGAAUUCCUAGUAGACGUAGUUCAUCAGACUGCAUCGAUUACGUCCCUGCCCUUUGUACACACCGCCCGUCGCUCCUACCGAUUGAAUGCUCAGGUGAGCCAUUCGGACUUUCAUCAUGCCGGUUUCCAGUUUUGAUGAAGGAAAGUCUUGCGAACCUUAUCAUUUAGAGGAAGGAGAAGUCGUAACA